rnacentral:sRNA from 1 species
GGAAUUAUACAGUGGUAAACUACUUGGUGAAACCAUGCUUUGUAUUUUUAAGAUGUAUAAUUAUAUUUAAAAACAAGCAAUGCUUAAUUUUGUGCCUGAUUUUCCUCUUUAAAAAUGGAUUUAUCUGGGGGUUGCAGUUGAUGACGUUUUGAUUUUAAUAUGUUUGCUGCUGCUACCAAGAGCUUUGUCAAGCAAGUUGGAGAUGGAGGGAGAUUAGUUCCUGUUCCAAGCCUCAGUGAAGCUGACAAAUAUCAACCUCUAAGUCUGGUGGUAAAAAAGAAGCGAUGCUUUCUGUUUCCUAGAUAUAAAUUUACUUCAACACCUUUUACACUGAAAGAUAUUCUCCUAGGAGACAGAGAAAUUUCAACUGGUAAGUUUAAAUGUUUGGGAGUGCCAACUCAUUCAUCUGUAUUAUUGGCAACCUAAACAUAGGUCAUAUAUGCUACUUAUGUUAGUAUUACACAUUUUCAAUGAUUAAAGCAACUUUUAUUAUGAUGUUAGUGUAAUAACAUUAUUAAGAUUAACAAUGCCAAAAGUUUGUAUAAUAUCAAAUCUCUUAUUGGUCAAAUAAUUUUCAAAUCUAUCAAUUAUUUUAUAAAUUGUUUUAACCAAAUCAACUUAGAAUAUGACAUAUUUCUUCAUCUAUAAAAUGGGAUAUUAUUUGGGCUUACCUAUGUUACAUGGUCAAAUGAGAUGAAAAUAAUUUGUAUUUAUUUUUUACAAUUCAAUUAUUACAAUUGGUAAACUGAAAUGUAUUGAAGGGUAGGUUAUAUAAUAAGCUGAUAUUUUGAUGAGUUACUACUUAUAAACGCUUAUUUUUUCUUUUAAUUGCCUGGUGGAUCUUGAUGCUUAAGAAGUUCUGUUGGCUGAAUAGAAAAUUUGAGUUCCUUUUAAGAAUUCUGGCUAUGUGUUUCUUUUUGUUGUAAGAUUAAUUGAAUUACUACUUUAAGUCUUGGUGAGUCAUGUUGCCUUUCUCUAACAUUUGGGUAUUUGAGUCUUCAAUUGUAAAUUAACAUGUUACUAUAUAUAAUCUACAUAAGAUAAAGAUGUUUAAAAAAUACUGAGUUUCUUCUUAUAAAGGUAUUUCAUCUUAUCAAUUACUGAAUUAUGAAGAUGAAUCAGAUGUUUCACUCUAUGGAAGGCGAGGUAACCAUAUUGUAAAUGACGUUGGGAUUAACGUUGCUGGAUCAGAUUCCAUUGCAGUGAAAGCUUCAUUUGGUAUAGUAACCAAACAUGAAGUGGAAGUAUCAACAUUACUCAAAGAAAUUACUACACGAAAAAUUAACUUUGACCACAGCUUGAUACGUCAGUCAAGGAGCAGCAGAAAGGCAGUAUUGUGUGUGGUCAUGGAGAGCAUCCGAACCACACGACAGUGCUCACUGUCUGUGCAUGCUGGAAUUCGAGGGGAAGCAAUGCGGUUUCACUUUAUGGAUGAACAGAAUCCCAAGGGAAGGGACAAAGCUAUUGUUUUCCCAGCACAUACAACCAUAGCUUUCAGUGUUUAUGAACUCUUCAUAUACCUGGAUGGUGCCUUUGACCUUUGUGUCACUUCAGUGUCAAAAGGAGGAUUUGAAAGGGAAGAAACGGCAACAUUUGCACUGCUGUACAGGUUGAGAAAUAUCCUAUUUGAAAGAAAUAGAAGAGUGAUGGAUGUCAUUUCUCGUUCACAGCUUUACUUGGAUGAUCUUUUUUCUGACUACUAUGACAAACCUCUCAGCAUGACUGAUAUUUCACUCAAAGAAGGCACCCAUAUCCGAGUUAACUUACUUAAUCACAACAUUCCCAAAGGGCCUUGCAUACUCUGUGGAAUGGGGAACUUCAAAAGGGAGACAGUUUAUGGGUGCUUUCAGUGUUCUGUUGAUGGUCAGAAGUAUGUGAGACUUCAUGCAGUUCCUUGUUUUGAUAUUUGGCACAAGAGGAUGAAAUAAAAUGAAAAAUGAA